GACGAACGCUGGCGGCGUGCUUAACACAUGCAAGUCGAGCGGUAAGGCCCUUCGCGGUUCACGAGCGGCGAACGGGUGAGUAACACGUGAGUAAUCUGCCCAUCACUUCGGGAUAACUCCGGGAAACCGGUGCUCAUACCCAAUAUGACCACUUCAGCCUUCUGCAGGUGGUUGAAAGUUCCGGCGGUGAUGGAUGUGCUCGCGGCCUAUCCGCUUGUUGGAGGGGGAGUGGCCUACCAAGGCAUCGGCGGGUAGCCGGCCUGGGAGGGUGACCGGCCACACUAGGACUGAGACACGGCGCAGACGCCUACGGGAGGCAACAGUGGGGAAUAUUGGACAAUGGGCGAAAGCCAGAUCCAGCAACGCCGCGUGAGGGAUGACGGGCUUCGGGUGGUAAACCUCGUUCAGCAGGGACGAAGCGCAAGGGACGGUACCUGCAGAAGAAGCACCGGCCAACUACGUGC
rnacentral:rRNA from 1 species